UACAGAUGAUGUUUUCUCACGAUGGUCUUCUGAUGUAUUUAUGGAGACAACUGCCAAAUGGCAUGGCUGAUGUAGACAC